CGGACGGGUGAGUAACGCGUGGGUAACCUGCCUCACACUGGGGGACAACAGUUAGAAAUGACUGCUAAUACCGCAUAAGCGCACAGGACCGCAUGGUCUAGUGUGAAAAACUCCGGUGGUGUGAGAUGGACCCGCGUUUGAUUAGCUAGUUGGUGGGGUAACGGCCUACCAAGGCGACGAUCAAUGGCCGACCUGAGAGGGUGACCGGCCACAUUGGGACUGAGACACGGCCCAA
rnacentral:rRNA from 1 species